rnacentral:rRNA from 1 species
AUGGUCAAUCCUAAAGUGCAGUCAUAUUUUGCAAAAGAGUCAUGUACAAGCAACAUUACACACAACAGCUUGUAUUCUUGCCUUACAAAAAAUCUCUUUUGUCAAUUACCACAAAUUUCUAUUCACAGUGUACAUCAAAUUAUUUUAUACAACAGCAGCUCAAUCACUGGCAAGAUGUGCCAACUACAAAAAGUUGUACAUGUAUCAGUACCUCAUCAAAUCAUUGACAAGAUGAACAAACUACAGAAUUUUGUACAAACUACAAAGUUCCUUCCUUUCGCACAUUUAUCCUUGGUCAUCACUGGCAACAUGAGCAGCUCAAAUCGUUGGCAAGAUGUACCCUUGGUCGUCACUGUUGGGGCUGUCUUCUUUGCACACUGUCAGGUCAGUCCAGCCGCGGGGGAGAGCACCGGGGGCAGCGGCCACAGUUGCGGCCGCGGCGAGCGAGCUCGAGAAGCGCCUCAGCCGCCGCGAGCGAGCUCGAGAAGCGCCUCAAGGGAGAGCAGCCGAGGCAGCGAGGGCGAAGGCGGCGGGGCGGCUCUGGCUGCCGCGGCGAGCGAGCGGAAGAAGAUAAGGGAAAUUGGGUUUUCGUGGUGGAGGUUAGGAUUCAGGAUUUUUUUUAGUGAAACGGAGCAUAAAUGUCGGAGCUGA